rnacentral:rRNA from 1 species
AUUGAACGCUGGCGGCAUGCCUUACACAUGCAAGUCGAACGGCAGCACGGGGGCAACCCUGGUGGCGAGUGGCGAACGGGUGAGUAACAUAUCGGAACAUACCCUAGAGUGGGGGAUAACGUAGCGAAAGUUACGCUAAUACCGCAUACGAUCUAAGGAUGAAAGUGGGGGGAUCUUCGGACCUCAUGCUCAUGGAGUGGCCGAUAUCUGAUUAGCUAGUUGGUGAGGUAAAGGCUCACCAAGGCGACGAUCAGUAGCUGGUUUGAGAGAACGACCAGCCACACUGGAACUGAGACACGGUCCAGACUCCUACGGGAGGCAGCAGUAGGGAAUAUUGGUCAAUGGAUGCAAGUCUGAACCAGCCAUGCCGCGUGCAGGAAGAAGGCCUUCUGGGUUGUAAACUGCUUUGCCAGGGGGUAAAUUCCGUAUGCGUGGAAACUAGAGGUACCUGGUGAAUAAGCCACGGCUAACUACGUGCCAGC